UACGAAGGGGGCGAGCGUUGUUCGGAUUUACUGGGCGUAAAGGGCGCGCAGGCGGCUGGUCAUGUCGAGUGUGAAAGCCCCGGGCUCAACCUGGGAACGGCGCUCGAGACGGGCUGGCUAGAGAUCGGGAGAGGAGCGUGGAAUUCCCAGUGUAGAGGUGAAAUUCGUAGAUAUUGGGAAGAACACCGGUGGCGAAGGCGGCGCUCUGGACCGAGACUGACGCUGAGGCGCGAAAGCGUGGGGAGCAAAC
rnacentral:rRNA from 1 species